ACUAUUUUGGCAGAUAAAGUGUAUUAAAUUUAGAAUUUAAGUAUAUAGAAGUUUUUCUAUAAAUAGUA
rnacentral:tRNA from 1 species